rnacentral:misc_RNA from 1 species
UGUGGGAGCGGGCUUGCUCGCGAAAGCGGUGGGUCAGUCGGCUUAUUUGUAACUGACCCACCGCUUUCGCGAGCAAGCCCGCUCCCACA